AGAACCAUUAAAAUAUGAAUGGGAGCAGUGAUAACUUAUCAACAUCUUAUGGUAUCAAUCCAGCUAACUAUCACCAAGGUCUCCAAAUGCCCGCAUUAAUGAACUGAGUUCUGCCCCCAUGACAAUCAACAGAGCCAAUUCUGUUUUGUCAGGGAAAGCUCCGGACCUCCAGUACUCUGGUAACAAAUGCACCAAAUCGACCCCCCUGAAGACUGUCGGUCCAAGCAUUUGGGAGUUUACCCCUAUUUGAAAACAUCGACAAUGCCUAUUAUUGCUCCCUGAUGUUUGCAUAAGGAGUUGGCAACAUACGGGUGUCAACAAGGGGUAAACGAAAGAGACAGCAGUAACUUGAUCAGUAGGAAUUGUUUCUUAUAACCAAAUACUAAGAUCUUUUCUUCAACUCCUAUGAUCAAAAUUUGAAUGACUACCAAUACAUGUCCAGCCUGACGACCACAACUGCUGAUACAAAAUAUGUAGGGUACUACAAGCAGCUGGAUACCAGUAGUACAUAAAUUAACAGUAGACAAGGUAUCCUGUGUAUCAACUUCUUAUUUACAUUUAGGGUUGCCAGGAUAAUUGUUAAAAACUAGGUAUGUACAUAUCAAAAUAAGCAAAAGCCAGACUAUGACCAGGCUGAUAAUGUGUAUACUGUGUAUAGAUAAGUCACCAUAAAUUGGCGCCAAAAAAGGGUCGAAACUGCAAAAUACAGAAGCUGCAUCUAUAUGGAGAGACCAGCCAUCCAGAAGUUAAAAGAGACUUAAUAUGGCAGGUAACAACCUUCAGUACAGAAGCUGCAUCUAUAUGGAGAGACUAGCCAUCCAGAAGUUAAAAGAGACUUAAUAUGGCAGGUAACAACCUUCAGAAAUCCCCCAAAAAGCAACAGCUGAGUGGAUGUAGUCUUUUCUGCAGAUACUAUAAACCUGUCAAAUUAAAUCAAAAGUUGUCAAGUUACUAGAAACUGCAGAAUGGCAACUGUCACCCCACAUACCCAGGGCAAAAAUAAUAGUAAUAGUAAAGCAGCAGCAAAUAGAGAGCCAAUGGAGAUCUUC
rnacentral:lncRNA from 1 species